AACCUCCCGGGCCACCCGGCCUGCGGCGGAAUGUUGCGUAAAGGGAAAGGUCGUAGUCAAACCCCACAGCCACGCGAACUCUAAGUAAGCCACGAAUAGGCUAUCCCAACUAACGGCGGGAAAAUCUCCACGGAGGGUGUAAGACCCGUGUGGGCGCGUGUCAAAGUUGUGCGGGCUCGGCCUCUUUUCCCUGAGAGUCGCGUUGCUUGAGCAUGCAGCGCUAAGCAGGUCGUAAACUCGAUCUAAGGCUAAAUAUAUCCACAGAACCGAUAGCGAACAAGUACCGUGAGGGAAAGUUGAAAAGCACUCUGGAGAGAGAGUCAAAAGACCGUGAAACCGCUUAGAGUAUAAGCCCAUGGCAGCUUGGAAGGCAUGUCGGUGGCGGGGCAUCUGGAAACUGCCCCUUCGCGGGGGGAGCGGAAGGGUGUUACCUUAUCUCUGUAAUGGCUCAUUAUGGUAGGGGGGUCAAGUCCACAUCCCGCCGACGGGUGGGGAGUACUGUGGUGUGUUGUUGUUCUGCUUCUGGUUUCGGCUGGUUGUGGGGCUCAGCGUGCCUGGUGCUUCUUGCUAACUCGGAUGUUCAGAGUCAGAGAUAAGACACGACAACCAGCCCACCACGGCACGUUGUGAGGUCACCCACAGGCUCGACUUUCGAUCGUGGUCCUUGACAAAGAGCAGCUCAGUGCGUGUCGC
rnacentral:rRNA from 1 species